AAGGAUCAUUAAUGAGUUGUGAUGGGGUUUGAUGCUGGCAGCCAAUUUUUGGAUGCAUGUGCUUGCCCUAACAAUCAUCUUCCAAACACCUGUGCACAUUUUUGAGGGAGUUUCGAGUUUUAUUGCCGUUUUUGGUGAUUUUCUUGCAUUCCCUUAAAUUAUUAUACGCUGUUAACAAUGAUGAACGUGCUCUGUGCCGCAAGGCCAUUAAUAUAAUACAACUUUUAACAACGGAUCUCUUGGCUCUCGCAUCGAUGAAGAACGCAGCGAAAUGCGAUAAGUAAUGUGAAUUGCAGAAUUCAGUGAAUCAUCGAAUCUUUGAACGCACCUUGCGCUCCCUGGUAUUCCGGGGAGCANGCCUGUUCGAGUGUCGCGAAAUUUCUCAAGCUUGGAUGGCUUUUUUGUCUGUCCUUAGCCUUGGUUGUUGGGCUUUGCCGUGUCCUUUGUUGGGANGGCUGGCCUUAAAAGCAUUAGCUGAUCCUCGUGUGGCACUGGUUCUACUCAGCGUGAUAACAGUCUGAUCGCUGAGGACAUCUUUUGGGAUGGCCAGUUCUCAUUUGGGUUGCUUCCAAACUUGGUUUUGCAGAUUCUUCAAUCUGUGUUCCACUUUCAGCUUUGACCUCGAAUCAGGUGGGACUACCCGCUGAACUUAA
rnacentral:rRNA from 1 species